rnacentral:lncRNA from 1 species
CAACUGCUUUGUCCUGGUUUUAGCUUCCUGCUUAAUGACCAAACGGCACCACGGUGGGUAACGCGCUGGAGCGAAAGUGGUGAAUCAUUAAAGAGUUCGUAAAU